CUUCCCCGAUCUCCCCGAUUCUCUCCUUCCGACCUCCCUCUUUUUCUCUAUUCCCUCUCGGUCCGAUCUCUCUCGAUUUCUCCCUCCUUCGCUGCCGAUCUUAAGGAGAUGGUUGUUAGAUCUCGACGGUGCCGAGGAAGUCCAGGUUGUCUUCGGCCAAGGGGUCUCUGCUAAGUGGAUUAUGCGGCCGGAUCGUGUCUCCUUCCACCAUCAUCCACCGAAGCUUGGAGUGAUGCCCUAGUUCAGAUUUGUGCCAUCCGAUUGCCGGCGUGAAGAGAAAUUAGGGCUACCAGCGUCGGAUUGGUCCAGUACCGACUGUGUGGGUGAGGUACCAGCCCUCUUCUUCAUGAUUUUCUUGUCUGAUUCUCUUCUCUGUUCAUCGACAAGAAUUCGCCGUGCCUUAACAGUGAUUUCGAAGGUCUCGGAUUUGGAGAGGUUGGUAUCAGGGAGGUGUCGUUUGGAUUAGGGGAAGGAAUCAGAUCAGACUCGUGCUAGGUUUUCCCUUGAUUGGAUCUCGGAUCUCCUCUGCCUUGCUAUUGAUUAGGGUACGGGAUUGAAGAGGAGGAGGGAGGUUUGUUUUGUUUGUUCUGUGUUGUGGGGUUGUCUUUGUUCCGGCAGCACUCCUUCCAGCAGCUCAUCUUUGGCUGCGGAUCAAGAGCAGUGGUUGAAUUGAGGACUCUGAUUCGAGACGGGCAUCUCGACGUUGGAUUUGGCGUGAUACUACCUGCUAUUUGA